rnacentral:lncRNA from 1 species
GCUGGGCGUGGGCGUUGUCAGACCGGGGACUGCGGUGGCGUCCUCCAAUGCACAGCCUAUGGUGCACCCCCCAACACCUUGGCUGAAUUCGCACUUAACCAGUUCAACAACCUGGACUUCUUUGAUAUAUCCUUGGUCGAUGGGUUUAAUGUGCCUAUGGCUUUUAACCCUACCUCCAAUGGGUGCUCCCGUGGAAUACGGUGCACGGCCAACAUCGUGGGACAGUGCCCCAAUCAGCUCCGAGCUCAGGGUGGCUGCAAUAACCCAUGCACCGUUUUCAAGACCGAUCCGUACUGUUGCAAUUCCGGGAGCUGUGGCCCUACAGAUUACUCAAGGUAUUUCAAGACUAGGUGCCCUGAUGCUUACAGCUACCCUAAGGAUGAUCAAACCAGCACCUUUACAUGCCCUGGUGGUACCAACUAUGAUGUUAUCUUCUGCCCAUAAAGCCUCUAUUAACUAUAGUAUGCAUGUACUCGCUAGUCCAAACUACUAGGGUGCUUUUGAGUCCAAAAGCCUAGAGGAAUAAAUUUGAAUAAAUUUGAGCACAUGUAUGUGUACUACAUGCGAUCGUGUAACAAAAUUUCUAAGCUAGUUGAAGAAAUGGAUGUUUUUACGAGGGAUUUUACCGAUAUUAUUAAGAAUGUGUUUUAUAGCGAUUUUAUAAAGUGUUUUUAAUUUUUUUUUAUAUUUGAAAGAUAAAAAGUUUUAAAUGUUAAAAAAAGUAAAAACAUUUUCUAAAAUUACUGUCAAAUACACUUUAAAAAUGGAUUUAAUAAUGAUUCUAAAAAGUUUUUAUAAUUAAAUAUGAAAAUUUUGAAGUAUUAAAAAAAACUAAAAAUAUUUUCUAAAAUUAUUAUCAAAUAUAUUCUAAAUAAUGUAGGACCUAAUAGAGAAACACUUUUGCAUAAGAAUUUUAAACAAAUAAAAAAAUAAAAAUCAUUCCAUCAAAAUAAUUCUAACUUUCUUUUUGUCUAAUUGGAUUCCAAGUAAGCUCGGUUUUUGUCCGCAAGACCAAUUGUUAAUUUAGUCUUUAGACCACUAGAAUGGAGGUUUCAAGGAAAAAGAAAAAAAAAGGGUUUGACUGUGAGCAGUGCUUUGCUGACUGACCUCACUCCCAAAUCAAUUUUCCAUGUGGUGGAACCGUGGAAGACGCCUUCCUUAAUGGGUAGGAGGCUGUUAAUGGAGAGUUUGGACUUUGGGGAGAAAUUGAUUGUUUCCCCACUCACUUUCAAUUAUAUCCAUUUACAUGGAAAUAUAUAGGAAAAGAAAAAAAUUUAAAAUUUUUCGUCAAAAGCAUCUCCUUCCAAUUGUUAUAUUAAAUAUUUUAUGAUUUCAAAUCUUUUCUGGUUUAAGUUUUGAAUUUACCCUAAUGAGUUUGCCUUUUUUUUUUUCUGUCCCUAUUUAAUAUAUAUAAUUAUGUAGAUUUUCCAUUUUGUCUUUCAUAGUACAUAAUUUUGACAAUAUUUAAUGUCUUUUGCUUGGUUCCCUGCAUAGCAUGUGCGUAGGAUUAUUUUUGGCUUUUAAAUCUGCUUGCAGCCUUCAUUGAACCGAAGUGGAUAGGAAGGGCUUGACUUAUUCGUAUACUCAGAGGGCACUCAACUCACUAGCAAUGCCCCACCAAAGUCGCGUGCAUUGAAUUGUAAAAUCGAUUGACUUUUUACUUUUACCUCUUAAACAAAAGGACACCUUCUCACUCCUUCCAAAUUUUUGAAAAAGAUAUAUAUAUAUAUCUAAAAACUGAAUUUAAUUAGAUUAUUUAUUAGAAAGGUAGGGUGAUCAUUCAUAACACUUCUCAAUACUCAUAUAUGUACUGUUUUUACUAAAUGAAUGAAAAGAAGUAUGAUGAUUAAUUAAUUAAUCAUGAAUAUUAAGAUUAAGAAGACAAAUCAAUAUAUAUAAAAAAAUAAUCAAAUCAAAAUAAUGCACAAAAUAAAUGACAAGAAAAUUUUACAAAAUAAUUUAUUAAACAAAUUUAAAAUAUAUAUAUUUCAAAAAAUUAUUCUUUUAAGAAUUUCGAAAAAAAAUUAUUAAAAACAAUUUCGAAUAAAUAAUUUCAAUUUAUUUUUUAUUUUUAAAAAGUUUCAAUUUAUUUCCAACAAAUGAUUUGAUUUAAUUUUAUUUAUAUUCAAUUUAUAUAUUUUUUUUAAAUAAUUACACUUAUUUUAUCAAAAGAUUUUUUUUAAAAAAAAGGAAAAUUCAAUUCCACAAUAAAAAUGAUUUUUACUUGCUUUUAUUAGAAAAAAAAAAAGAAUUUUUACAACUUUAUUUUCAAAAAUAAUUUAAUUUUAUUUUAUUUACAAAGAAUUAAUUUCUUUACAAUAAAAUAUUUUCAAUCCAAUUUUAUCAAGAAAAUUAUUUUUACAACUUCAAUUUGCAAAAAAAACUUUCAUUUUAUUUUUAUUAAAAUAUUAUUCAAGACAUUUAUUUAUGAAAAUUAUUUUUAAUGUCAUUCUAAUUAAGGAAAGAUAACUUAUUUAAAUUUUUUGGAUAAUUUUAUUAAAAAAAACCUUUUGGACAAUUUCAUUUAAAAAUCAAUUUUUUUGAACAAUUUUAAUUAAACAAAAUAAAUUUUAGACAAUUAUUAAAAACAAUUUUUUAAAAUUUUAAUUAAAAACAAUUUUAGAAUUCCUUUAAAAACAUUUUUUGAAUUUUUUUAUUAAGCAAACUUUCUUUUAUUUAAAAGAAUCAUUUUAGAAAUAUUAUUUUAUUAAAAAAUAUUUAUUAAAUGGUUCCUCUUAUUUAAACAAAAAUUUUGGUUUGUUGUGAAUAUUUAAACAAAAUUUUUGGGUUUGAAUCAAUACAAAUAAAACCAAAUAAAAGUGAAAAUAAAAUGUAUAUCCAACAAGCCUACAACUCUUUUUUCUUCAUGAAAUUCAACCUUUCAUGUGUCUCGAAUCCAUACUUAGACAGAAUACCAAUGAGAGUAGUGGAAUGGGCCAUGAAAAACAAAAAUUAGUCCAAAAGUAAGUAUUUGGAAAUAUGCAAAAUCCAAAAUAAAUAUUCAAACCCAAAUUCUAUAAGCCCAAUAGGAAAAUUCAAAUUGGUCCAAUGAAUUUCACCAAUGAAAAUAAAUCAAAUUAACAAGUAUAACCCAACAAAAAUAUCUCAUUUGCUAUAAGCAUUAGUUCAAAAUUUUCAAAUUAAUAACCAAAAUCUAAUAUCCAUCAACAAGCCACAAAUCAAAAUAAUCUCAAUUAAGCCUAAGCCCAAUUUAAUACGCAAACUCAAAUUCAUAAUCAAAAUCAAACUCAAUUUAAUAUACAUACCUAAAUAAUAUCUAAAAUAUAUCACAAUAUUAUCUCAUACCCGAAUUAAAUAAUUCAUGAGCAAAACCUAUAUCAAAUGUCAAUCAAUCCAAUAAAUUUUACCAAUAAUAAAAUAGCUUAAAUUUCAUAUUAAUUAAUAAACUCAGAACGUGAUAAAUCAAAAUAAAUUGAAUCAAACAUAAAUUCAAUAUCUUAUAAUUUAAGCCUAAUUGAAUAUUCAAAUCCAAAAUCCAAUAAUCACCAAAUCCAAAUACAACAUAAACUAACAAACCCGAAUUUAUAUGAAUACAAAUCAAAAUAUAAGGUCCAAAAUGAUCCAGAUUAUCUAAGCUUACAAAUAAUGUCUAAAUGCACACAUGAAAAUAAUAAAAAUUAGCCCAAACCAAUAAUCUCAAUAAUCAAGAACAAAUUAUUGUAGUGAUUAAACAGAAAUAAUAAAAAUAUAAGGAUAUAAACUUACCCAUGAAGAACCCAUUAUAGUAAUUAAACAUAAAUAACAAAAAUAAAAGAAAAUAAAUUUGCCCAAAUUUGAAGUAUAUUGUUGAAGGGUUGAUAUAGGCUAAUGAAAAUAAAAAUAAAAAUAAAAUGAAAGAAGAUAGAGAGGGAAAGAAAGAGAAAAUGGUGAGAUGAAAGAUAGGUGGAAAGGGAGAACGAAAGAGGAAAGGGGGUCGCCGGCCGGCAGCAGAUCACCGAUGGAGACGGACCAACUGUGUUGUCGAUAGUGAGGGUUGAGUGAGUGUGGUGAGGGAAAAAUGAAGAAGAAAAAUGAAGAGAAGAAAAAAAAAAAAAAGAAAGGUGGGGCAUGUUCUCUGGAAGUGGGCCAAGAGGGGAGAAAAAGCGGGGAAAAAAAGAAGAUGAAAGAAAAUGAAAGAAAAGAGAGGAAAAUGGAAAUGGAAGAGAGGAGAGCGGGGGAUAUGGGGUCUCUGACGUGGGAGUGGGCAGGAGAGAGAGAGUUGAGGGAGUGGGUGGAGUAGGUGAGAGAAAAAGAAAGAAAAGAAAAUAAAAGAGGGAGGGAAGGAAGGAAAUGAGAAAAAAAGAAGAAGUAAAAUAAAAUUAGAUAAAAUAAUAAAAAAUUAAAAAUUAACAUUUAAAAUAUAUAAAUAGGUUAAAAAAAUUCAAACUAAGAUUUAAAAAAUAUAAAUGGACCAAAAAAUUUAAAUUUCGAUUUAAAAGGUAUAUAUGAAUAAAAAAAAAAUCAAAUGUAAUCCAUUUGAAAUAUAAUAAUAAAAUUAAACAUAAAAUUAAUGUAAAAAAAAAAUAGAAGAAAUUUUAAGAUUACAAAAAGUAUAGGGCAUGGUACAAAUUUAUUUUUAUUAUUUAAAUAAAAAAAGAUUAUCUUAAAACAUUACUUUAUUUUUUAAAAUAAGAAAUAAUUUUUAAGAAUUUAUUCUUGAAAUGAGGAGAGUGUUUAGAAUAUUUUUUUCACUUACUUUCUAAAAAAAUAUUAUAAAAAUUAAAUUAAUAAAUAUGCAGAAUAAUUAAAAGUAAAAUGUUAUAUACAAAAGUUAUUUUAAAAAAUAUAUUAACAAAAAUCAAAUUUCGAAACGGACUUCUUCUAUUAAAAAAAUAUUAAAAAUGGUUUGAAGCAUAUAUUCAAAAGUCGUCUUUUGAGAGUAGAUUUCAAAAAUAUUUCCAAAUAGAUUUUAACAUAUCAUUUCAAAGUGAUUCUAAUUAAAAUAUUUUGAUUUAUACUUUUUUAUUCAAAAUAUUUUGAUCAACUUUUAAAUAUAAAACCAAUUCAAAAAUAUCCUCAACACAUAUUAUUUAAUCAUAAAAAUUCUCAUAAUUUUUUUAUUCUUCAAAUACUUUCCAACAAAUAGUCAAAGUCACAUGCAAACUCUUCCAACAAAUUUCAAAUGCAAGCCACAUACAUAUGCAACACUCCUUAACAUGAUUCGUAAGAAUAAUUUCUCAGUGACACAAAUUUCAAUUUCUACUAAAUAUCUAUAUCAAAAUAAAUAGAAAAAAAAAUUCAAGAUAUCCAAAGAUGAUCACACCUAUUUCAGUUCAUUGUUCUUCCAUUCAAUUUAUAUCCACAAGUAAUAAAUGAAAACUAAAACUGAAAAUAAAUCAAAGAAUAUAAUAAAAAUAAAUAAAUAAAUAAUGAUAUCAGAAUUUACGUAGAAAACUUUCAAAAAGAUUAAUAAAACACGAACUUACCAUCAAUAAAAAAUUCCACUAUAAAAAAUAAAUAAUGUGUACAACGAUUUACCUAACUCAAAUCUUUUAAUCUUUCGUAGACUUAACCAACACUUUCUCACUUCAAUAGCAUAUCCUCAUCUUUCAUAAUAUACUUGGCCUUUUCAUUAUACUUGGCCUUUUCAUUAUACUUGAUCUUAACCUCUUCUUAAAGCUUGUUUAAGAAGAAAAAUGGGUUUUUUACCCAAACCCAAAUAGAUCAAAAAUUGAGAGAAUGAAUGAAUAAAUAGAUUAACCUUUUUUUUUUCUCAAGAAAAUUUAUUGAAAGCGACUUUAAAAUCAAUAAGAAAAUGAGAUUUUCUUGACCACCAAACACCGUAAAUUUGGUAAGAAAAAAAAGUACAAGGGCAAAAUAACUAUAUAUAUAUAUAUAUAUAUAUAUAUAUAUUAUUUUGUUAGAAAAAAAAUUUGAUAUAAAAAGUAGUUUUAGUGCUACAAAUAUAUCUAUAUAUAUAUAUAUAUAUACUCUUAAUUGAUAUCUUCUUCAAAAUGGUCCCCAUACUGUGUUCUAGCCACGACAGAUAAUACGAUUGAGAUUAAUGAGACGGCACUUAGAUAAUUCUUGUGUACGUGGAAUGAAUGGAUGGGAAUUCUUGAAUACUUAAAUACUUGACUUGUUCAAUGUUGUGGGCUUCAAGGUGCUUUCCUUAGCCCAUUGGGCCCUGCCAUCUACCCUGUGCAGCCCCAUUAGCUGACUUGCUUGCGUCUAUGGAAUGAAGUCAUACACGAGGGCACAAAGAUAUAUGACGCCAUUCCUUGGAAUUUAAUAAAAGCUGUUUCCCAUUUCUCCGCCGCCCCCACCCUAUAUAAACCCCUACCCAUUUUUCCAAAGGUUGAAUUCAAUUUAAAUAACAAAUCCAUCUUUAUAAAGUGAAAAAUAAAUUUGUUUUUUCAAAAAUCAAGUUUAAUAUUAAAAUAAAACAGAUAAGAGAUUAAAAACAAAAGUUACAAAACGGACAAGAGAGAAGAAUGGAAUGUGGUAAAAAAAAAACACAUUUUGUAUUUAUUUUUAAAUAACAAUUUUAGUAAUGAUUUUAUAAGGUGUUUUUAAUAUUUAAAAAAAAAUUAAAAAUACUUGUUAAAAUAAUUGUGAAACGCAUUGUUAGACUUUUUAGACCAUACAGGUUUCAGGGAAAAAACAAUAAAAAAUAAAAUAAAGAAGAUUUGAUUGUGAGCAAAGCUUUCAAUUUUCCAUGUAGUGGAAGAAGCCUUCUAUAUGGGUAUUUUAUUUUGUCCUCAUAACAUGAUAUUUAUCAUAUUUGGUAUUUGCAUAGUAUAUAUACAAAAUUCUUUUUGAUUUUUCUACUCUUUGCACUUCUUAGUGGUCUUUCUAUUACUUUUAUACAUAAUAAAAGUCAAUAACUAAAUGUAGAGAUUUUUUGCGGGCCCAAAAAUCACACGGUUAGUUCAUGGAGUUGCUUUCGGAGAGGCCUGAACCACCCACCAAAGUUGAGCUUAUCUCUUCGCUUUUACAUCUUAAAUGACACUAGAAAAAGGUAUAUGGCAUAGUAGAAAACUAUUUUUAAUUUUUUUUUUAUUAUUUAAAUAAUUUUUUUUUACCUGAAAACUUUUAUUAUUAUUUUAAAUAAGAAAUUGUUUUUUAAUUAUUUAUUCUAAAAAUGAGAAGAAAGUGUUAAGAAUAUUUUUUUCACUUAUUUUCUGAGAAUCAUUUAAAAAAUUUAAUUAUAUAAAUAUUGAGAAGAGUUGAAAAUAAAACAUUACAUAUAAUUUUUAAAAAUAUAAAAAUUUUAUUAAAAAUAUUUCAAGUUUCUAAACAUGCUUCUAGUAAAAAAAAAAAUUAAAAAUUGUUUGAAACAUAUUUUCAAAAAUUAAUUUUGGACAACAGUUUUAAAAAAUAUUUCCAAAUAGACCAUGAAAUAUCAUUUCAAAAUGAUUUUAAUUAAAGUUGUGCAGAGUAUUUUAACAAUGAUAUGGACCUUAUCUGGAAAAUAUUUUAAAUAAAAAAUAUAUGUUUAUUUAAAUUUGCGCCAUUGUAUUUGCUUACAAGUUUAUUUAUUGUCAUGUUUCAGAAAAAAAUAUCAGCUUCAGUUGAAAAGUUUUGAAAGAUACUUCGUAGUGGACCCACAUGGAUCACGAAUCCAUCUAAAACCCAACAUUUACGGGCUUUCCAUGACAUUGGGCCCAGUCACGUGUCUUUUAAGUGGAAAGUAAACUUUGGAUUUUCUCUUCUCUGGACUGGGUUGCUUCUCAGUAUCUUAAACGAUAAAUGAUGAUAUUAUCGAAAAUAGUCCCAGUCUCAGAAUAAUUGAAGUGGCCAAUCAUAUUGGAAUAAUUCAACAGGCUGUCUCAUUGAAUUUUGAAAUAAAUUUUUCCAACAACAUCCACCGACGUUUUUCUCAUUCAGCAUUCGGUAUUUAUGAAUUUACAUAAAAGUUAGGCAGAUUUCUGAAAUUAUAAAAAAUAAAAAUAAAAAUGACAAUGACGUGGGGCCUCGUCUCUGCAAAAUAUUUUAAAUAAAAUUAUUUAUUUUCUAAAAACAAACCUUUUUCAUUUGAAAAAAAAAAUUAUUGGCUUUUGAUGAUAAGGUUUGUGGAAGAAAAAGGCCAUCCCGCAUUGACUCUUUCUUUCAUGCCUACGAGUCACAACGAAGUCGACCACAAAGAUGAUGCCAUCAUUUGGAAUUUUUACAAGGCUUUAUGCACGCGGUUUUUCCACACUCACACCAACCCAAGCCCUCCUUCACACUAUACAAACCCUUUCUUCAAAUUGAUAAAUGAUAGUUUUUUUCAUUCAUACUUUCAUUUGUUCAUAUACAGAGUAUAUAUAGAGGGUAAUCAUCAUUCUAAGAAUGAGAAAGAAUAAUACAAGGAAAGAAUGAUAUAAGGAAAUAACAACUAAUAUCCUAAUAUCUCAACUUUCCUAAUAUUUCAAUAUUCCUAGUAUCUCAAUAUUCAUAAUAUCUCAAUAUUCAUAAUAUCUCAACAUUCCUAAUAUCUAAACAUUCCUAAUAUCUCAAUACUAAAUGAUAUAAGGAAAGAAUGAUAUAAGGAAAGCAUUCCUAAUAUCUCAACACUCCCCCUCAAGUUGGUGCAUAGAUGUCACACAUACCCAACUUGUCUAAAAAUUUUGAGAACACUUGACUUGAGACAGCUUUGGUAAGGAUAUCGGCCAAUUGAUCUUCUGAUCGAAUCUUAGGCAAUUCCACAAUCUUAUCAUCCAACUUUUCCUUAAUGAAGAAUCUAUCCACCUCGACAUGCUUUGUAUGAUCAUGUUGUACUGGAUUAUGAGUAAUGUCACAUGCGGCUUUAUUGUCACAAAACAAUCGGAUUGGUUGCCUAGAUAGGUAACUUAAAUCCUGUAAGAGGAGUCUUACCCAUAAUGCCUCACAAAGUCCUAGAGUCAUAUCUCUAAAUUCCGCUUCUGCACUUGAAUGAGCGACGACAUUCUGCUUCUUACUUUUCCAUGUCACAAGAUUACCACGUACAAAGGUAAAGUAACCAGAUGUAGAUCGCCUAUCAUCCACUGCACCGGCCCAAUCAGCAUCAGUAUAUACUUCUAUACUCUGAUGAUCAACAUUUUUAGUGAACAAAAUUCCCUUCCCAGGAGCAUUCUUCAAAUACCUCAAAAUAUGCAUGACUGCAUUCAUAUGUUGCUCUCCAGGAUUAUGCAUGUAGUGACUCACUACACUCAAUGCAUAAGCAAGAUCUGGUCUUGUAUGAGCUAAGUACAUUAAUCUCCCCACAAGUCUCUGGUAUCUUCCUUUAUUGGUUGAUACUUGAUUAGGCUCAACACACAAUUUCAGACCUUCUUCUAUUGGUGUAUUAACAGGUUGACAUCCCGACAUUCCAGUCUCCUGUAAAAGAUCUAAGGCAUACUUUCUUUGAGACAAAAAAAUUCCUUCACUUGAUCGAGAAACUUCAAUCCUAAGAAAGUAUUUCAGAGGACCUAGAUCUUUCAUUUCGAAUUCUUUAGAUAGAUAAUUUUGCAGAGCUUUUCUUUCUUCAGGAUCAUUUCCUGUAACUACCAUGUCAUCCACAUAUACGAUGAGUGUCGUAAUCUUACCAUGUUGCUUUUUUAGGAAUAAAGUGUGAUCUGAAUUACUUUGACGAUAGCCAAAAGCUCUCAUUAACUUUGUGAACCUUCCAAACCAUGCUCUCGGGGAUUGCUUCAACCCAUACAAUGACUUCUUCAAUUUGCACACCUUCUGACAUUGCUUUUCUAACACCAUGCAUCCUGGUGGAAGAUCCAUAUAUACUUCUUUAGAUAACUCGCCAUGAAGAAAAGCAUUUUUCACAUCGAAUUGUUGUAAUGGCCAAUCUAGGUUUGCAGCUAAAGACAAUAAUACUCGAAUUGUGUUGAUCUUAGUUACAGGUGCAAAUGUCUCUGUGUAGUCAAUUCCAUAAGUUUGAGUGUACCCUUUUGCUACCAGUCUUGCUUUAAAUCGUUCAAUACUACCAUCUGCCUUGUACUUCGCAGUAUAGAUCCAACGACACCCAACUGGCUUCUUUCCUGGUGGACAUUCUACGAGUUCCCAUGUUUCAUUCUUCUGCAAUGAUUUCAUCUCUUCAUUCAUGACUGCUUUCCACCUUGGAUCAGCUAAGGCUUCUUGCACACUGUUAGGAAUAGAUACAGUAGAUAAUUGAUUUACAAAUGACUUAUUUGAUUCAGACAAACGAUGGGUAGACACAUAGUUGCUCAUGAGAUAUUUGACUUUAUUAGGCAAUUCAGGUUCAUAUGUGGGUUUAGGAAUACCUCUAUUAUGACGAUGUGGUAACCGUUUCAUGAAUGGAUCAGGUUCCAAAUUAAGAACACCCUCAACAGACGACGAUUGGUUUGGUAUUUCAGUGAAGAUAACUUCGGACCCAAAUGUGCAACUAGUGCCAUGAUUAUCCUGAAAGAGUCCUUCGUAGAAACUGGAGAGAAGGUCUCUUUGAAGUCAAUUCCUUCUUUUUGAGUAAAGCCUUUAGCUACAAGACGUGCUUUAUAUCUUUCUACAUUACCAUUUGAAUCCCGCUUGGUUUUAAAUAUCCAUUUACAACCAAUGGGCUUCGUGCCAACUGGUAAUGGGACAAGUUCCCAAACUUUAUUGUCUUGCAUAGAUUUGUACUCUUCAUUCAUGGCUUCAAUCCAUUUCUGAGAGUUGGAACUUUUCAUGGCUUGCUGGAAGUUGAUUGGAUCAUCUUCCAUCAUUCCACUUUCUACCCCACGUUCCUAGAGAUAUACGAUAUAAUCGUCCGAAAUUACAUUUCUCCUCUCUCUAGUGGAUCUCCUUAAUAGCAUAUUUUCUUGAGGUUGUUGAGUUUGUUCUUCAAGAGCAAUGUCCUCAUUUGCAAUUAAGGGUUGAACAAUAUUGUCUAUUGGUUAAGGAUCCAAAUUUACUUCUUGAUCGAUGAUAGGUAGUGAAACCUGUACAUUAUCAAAAGCAAUAGUAGAUCCCUCUUCCUCCUCAAAGACAAUAUUCCUAGCCUGAUUUCUCCCCCCAAACUCAACAUCCUCAAAAAAUGUUGCAGUUCUCGUCUCAAAAAUUGACCUAAAAGCAGGAUCAUAAAAUUUAAAACCCCUUGAUCGCUCUGCAUAGCCAAUAAAGUAGUUGCUAACUGUUUUAGAGUCCAAUUUCUUUUCAUGAGGCUUAUAAGGUCUCGCUUCAGCUGGACAUCCCCAAAUAUGGAAAUGCUUUAAACUGGGCUUUCGACCCGUCCAAAGCUCAUAAGGCAUUUUAGCAGCCGCUUUAGUUGGCACCCGAUUUAGGAUAUAAGCUGCCGUUUUAAGUGCUUCACCCCAGAGUUUUUCGGGUAAAGUAGAAUGACUAAUCAUACUCCUUACCAUGUCCUUAAGAGUUCGGUUUCGUCUUUCUGCUACACCAUUCAUGCUAGGUGAUCCUGGCAUGGUGUAUUAAGGGACGAUCCCACAUUCCUCUAGGUAUUUAGCAAAUGGUCCUGGACGUUGUUCACCUGAUCCGUCAUAUCUACCAUAGUAUUCACCACCACGGUUAGAUCUGACGCUCUUUAUUCUUUUGUUGAGUUGUAACUCAACUUCUGCUUUAAAUGUUUUGAACACGUCCAAUGAUUGUGAUUUCUCAUGUAUAAGAAAUAGGUAGCCAUAUCUUGAAUAGUCGUCUAUGAAUGUUAUAAAGUACUGUUGACCAUUCCAAGAUAUCGUAGGGUAUGGUCCACAGAUAUCUGUAUGAAUUAAUUCUAAGACGUUUGUAGCUCUAUUGGCACCUAAUUUCUUUGUUUUGGUCUGUUUUCCUUUAAUACACUCAACACAAAUAUCAAAAUCUGAAAAGUUAAGUGAAUCCAAAAUCCCAUCGGACACAAGUCGCUCAACUCUAGAUUUAGAGAUAUGACCUAGGCGUUUGUGCCAUAAUGAGGCCGAAUUAUCUUUAUUCAAUUUACGUUUUGUACCUCGUGAUUCCACAUGCAAGGUUUCAUUAUAGGACGGAACAGUUUCCAACAAAUAUAGAUUAUCAUAAACAUUAAGUAAACCGGUUCCUACAACAUUUGAAAUAAUAGAUAAUGUAAAUCUAUUGUUUCCAAAUGAACAACAAUAACCUGAUUUGUCCAAAACAGAAACUGAAAUUAAAUUCCGUCUGAAAGACGGUACAACAAAAGUAUCUAUUGAAUCCAAAAAAUAACCAGAUUUCAAUAAUAAUCUAAAGUGCCCUAUUGUCUCUACUUCUAUCGACUGACCGUCUCCGACAUAGAUGCAUCUUUCAGCAUCACUUGGUUUUCGGUAACUCAGGCAACCCUGCAUAGAAACACAAAUAUGAAUAGUAGCACCAGAAUCUAACCACCAUGUGUUUCUAGAUACUGAAGCUAAAUUAACUUCAGAACAUACCAAAGUAAGAAAUAUACCUUUCUUAACACGCCAAGUAGCAUACUUGGUACAUUCCUUCUUAGUAUGUCCAGGCUUAUUACAGAAGAAACAUGUUACCUCAACUUUCUGUUUCUUUUGUUCUGGACCAUUAGAAGCAACAACCUUAUUAUUCUUAUUCUUUCGUUUGCCCUUAUCCUUGGAAGUGCUAGCCAGAAGAGCACUUUCGGUCUUGUCUUGCUUCAAUCUCUCUUCCUCUUGCACACAGAAUGAAAUGAGCUCAUUAAGAGUCCAUUUAUCCUUUUGAUAGUUAUAACUGACCUUGAAUUAAUUAAAUUGUGCAGGAAGAGAGAUGAGAACCAAAUGCACGAGUAAAUCAUCAGAUAACUCGAGUUUCAAAGCCUUAAGUUUUGAAGCAAGAUGAGACAUCCCCAUGAUGUACUCCCGAACAUUACCCUUGCCUUUAUACUUCAUUGAAAUCAAGCUUGCUAAAAGCGUGCUCGUUUCAGCCUUAUCGUUUUUGGCAAAACGUUUCUGAAUUUCCGCAAGGAAGUCACUGGCAUUAGUAACCUCAUCGGUUACCGCACCCCUGAAAGCUUCUGGAAUGCCGCGCUUCAUGAUCAUAAGACUUAGCCUAUUUGAACGUUCCCACUUACCCCAAUAAACCUCAUGCUCUUGAGUACUUUCCUCAUUGAGUUCAUCGGGUUUGGGCAUUCUCAAGGCUAAGUCUAUAUCCAUGCAGCCUAAGAGAAUCAUCAUAUUCUCUUUCUAGUCCUUAAAAUUAGUCUCAUUUAACAUAGGGACAUUAUUGAUGUUGGCAGAUAUAGAAGUAGUUGAUAUAAAAGUUGAAUCGAAAACAAAAUAAAAUAAAUCAAAUAAACCAUCAUGCUCACAUAAAAUAAGCAAUUAAACACAUAAUCUUUAAAUUUAAAAGCAAAUUAUGACAUUUCAAGAUACCUAGCACAACAUUAAUAUCAAGUCUUUGGACAGUAAUAUUAACUAUAAGUGGUACUCUUGUUGUAGUGAUCAAACAUUGAUGAUAAGUUAUGUCAAAUAAUAAAUCUAUCUUUGGAUUGAUUUAUUAUUCACAUUAAGUUACCUUUAUAAUCAUCACAUAUUUAUCACCACAGGUAUGUAUGCAAUUUGACCAAAUAUUAACUUUCCUUUGGGCCAGUCAAUACCCGCAUGAAUCACAUACACACGAAUAUCUAACACCCUGAACAGACUAAUCUACACGAAAGAUGUCACUUUGGUGAUUUUCCGCUUUAAUUAACCUAUUUAAAAUGCUAGAUCAAUAACUUAAAUAUUAAUAUCAUAAAAUGCUAUUAAAUAAUAAUAAUAAUAAUAAUAAUAAUAGUAAAAAAAAAAACAAAUUUAUUUAAUACAAAAAAAAAUAAAUUAAAACUUAAUAUAUUAUUAUAAGAAUAUGAUAAAUACUGCAGCAGCAAGGGAUAAAGGCCUUUUAUACUCAUAUAUACAUAUAUAUAUAUAUAUAUAUAUAUAUAUAUAUAUAUAUUUGAAACUUUAACAGAAUCAUCACCUACUAUUCCCAAAGAAAUUUCUAAGAUAUAUCAUUGGAAAUGUAAUACUUUUGACUUCAAAUACAAAUUUUUUUUGCACCUCUUUUCUUAACCAAUGAAUGUAUCUAUGUAUACUCUUAUAUUAAUACAAUCGAUUUCUAUUGACUUUAUCAAAACGAUCCACUGGUUUGUCAAACGAUUUAUGAAACGAUUUAUUGGUUUAUCAAACGAUUGUAUUUAUUCUGCCGAUAAAUCGCUUGAUAAACCAAUAGAAACCGAUUGCGGAAUAAAAAAAUAAAAAAUAUCAACUCAAUAUUUCAUAAAUCUUAAUCCAUUGACAUAUAUACAUAUAUAUAUAUAUAUAUAUAUUAAAAUAAUAACUCAAAGAAUUAAUCAAGGAGUAGGCUCUGAUACCACUUGUUAUAAUCAAACAAGAUGAAUACCCUAAUUUCAUAUAUACUGGAAUCUCCUGAUUAAAAAACAAUGAGUAGAAAAAUAAUAGCGGAAGCAUACCUGAAUCUAUUGAGGGAGAAACCUUAUAGGAAGAAAACCCUUUGAGAUGGUCUUCCAAUUCUAGCCACUAGAUUCUGUGUCAAUUUCUCUCUGAGAGGAUUUUUCAGAAAUUAGAAUGCGUAGUCGUAGAAUGGGGACCAUAACCCUAUUUAUAAACCGCUAGGGCAGUUUUAAUUUUAUCACAAUUAUAUUUCUGCCCCUCAUAGAAAUAAUAAUUAUCUAAUGGUAUCUACACAAUAAUCUCAUGACAAUUAUACCCUUAAGCCAAUUAAUCAAUUAUUAAUUAGAUCACUAUAUUUAGGCUUAAUUAAAUGAUAGCACACACAUUUUAAUUAUUUACAUGUGUGGUCCAAAUUAUAGAUUAAUUACAAAAAUUAAUCUAACAUCUUCCUCAAAAUGGGCCUCUUCAAAAGCCUCUCCAUUUCCUCCUUGCUUCUCAUCACCCUCUUCUUCACCUCCGCCCAUGCAGCCAUUUUCAAUAUCCAAAACCGUUGUUCCUACACAGUUUGGGCAGCAGCUGUGCCGGGUGGGGGUAGGCGCCUCGACCCGCGUCAGUCCUGGAGCUCGACUGUGAACCCUGGGACAACUGGAGCCCGUAUUUGGGCCCGGACCGGCUGCAGCUUCGAUGGGGCUGGGCGUGGGCGUUGUCAGACCGGGGACUGCGGUGGCGUCCUCGAAUGCACAGCCUAUGGUGCACCCCCCAACACCUUGGCUGAAUUCGCACUUAACCAGUUCAACAACCUGGACUUCUUUGAUAUAUCCUUGGUCGAUGGGUUUAAUGUGCCUAUGGCUUUUAGCCCCACCUCCAAUGGGUGCUCCCGUGGAAUACGGUGCACGGCCAACAUCGUGGGACAGUGCCCCAGUCAGCUUCGAGCUCAGGGUGGCUGCAAUAACCCAUGCACCGUUUUCAAGACCGAUCAGUACUGUUGCAAUUCCGGGAGCUGUGGCCCUACAGAUUACUCAAGGUAUUUCAAGACUAGGUGCCCUGAUGCUUACAGCUACCCUAAGGAUGAUCAAACCAGCACCUUUACAUGCCCUGGUGGUACCAACUAUGAUGUUAUCUUCUGCCCAUAAAGCCUCUAUUAACUAUAGUAUGCAUGUACUCGCUAGUCUAAACUACUAGGGUGCUUUUGAGUCCAUGUUGAGAUGCAAAAGCCUAGAGGAAUAAAUUUGAGCACAUGUAUGUGUACUACAUGUGAUCAUGUAACAAAAUUUCUAAGCUAGUUAAAGAAAUGGAUGUUUUUACGAGGGAUUUUAUCGAUAUUAUUAAGAAUGUGUUUUAUAGUGAUUUUAUGAAAUGUUUUUAAUUUUUUUUUAUAUUUGAAAGAUAAAAAGUUUUAAAUGUUAAAAAAAACAAAAAUAUUUUCUAAAAUUAUUAUUAAAUACAUUCUAAAAGUGGAUUUAAUAAUGAUUCUAAAAAAAUUUUAUAAUUAAAUAUGAAAAUUUUGAAGUAUUAAAAAAAACUAAAAAUAUUUUCUAAAAUUAUUAUCAAAUAUAUUCUAAAUAAUGUAGGACCUAAUAGAGAAACACUUUUGCAUAAGAAUUUUAAACAAAUAAAAAAAUAAAAAUCAUUCCAUCAAAAUAAUUCUAACUUUCUUUUUGUCUAAUUGGAUUCCAAGUAAGCUCGGUUUUUGUCCGCAAGACCAAUUGUUAAUUUAGUCUUUAGACCACUAGAAUGGAGGUUUCAAGGAAAAAAAAAAAAAAGGGUUUGACUGUGAGCAGUGCUUUGCUGACUGACCUCACUCCCAAAUCAAUUUUCCAUGUGGUGGAAGACGCCUUCCUUAAUGGGUAGGAGGCUGUUAAUGGAGAGUUUGGACUUUGGGGAGAAAUUGAUUGUUUCCCCACUCACUUUCAAUUAUAUCCAUGUACAUGUAAAAAUAUAUAGGAAAAGAAAAAAAUUUAAAAUUUUUCGUCAAAAGCAUCUCCUUCCAAUUGUUAUAUUAAAUAUUUUAUGAUUUCAAAUCUUUUCUGGUUUAAGUUUUGAAUUUACCCUAAUAAGUUUGCCCUUUUUUUUUCUGUCCCUAUUUAAUAUAUAUAAUUAUGUAGAUUUUCCAUUUUGUCUUUCAUAGUACAUAAUUUUGAUAAUAUUUAAUGUCUUUUGCUUGGUUCCCUGCAUAGCAUGUGCGUAGGAUUAUUUUUGGCUUUUAAAUCUGCUUGCAGCCUUCAUUGAACCGAAGUGGAUAGGAAGGGCUUGACUUGUUCGUAUACUCAGAGGGCACUCAACUCACUAGCAAUGCCCCACCAAAGUCGCGUGCAUUGAAUUGUAAAAUCGAUUGACUUUUCACUUUUACCUCUUAAACAAAAGGACACCUUCUCACUCCUUCCAAAUUUUUGAAAAAGAUAUAUAUAUAUAUAUAUAUAUAUAUCUAAAAACUGAAUUUAAUUAGAUUAUUUAUUAGAAAGGUUGGGUCAUCAUUCAUAACACUUCUCAAUACUCGUAUAUGUACUGUUUUUACUAAAUGAAUGAAAAGAAGUAUGAUGAUUAAUUAAUUAAUCAUGAAUAUUAAGAUUAAGAAGAUAAAUCAAUAUAUAAAAAAAAAUAAUCAAAUCAAAAUAAUGCACAAAAUAAAUGACAAGAAAAUUUUACAAAAUAAUUUAUUAAACAAAUUUAAAAUAUAUAUAUUUCAAAAAAUUAUUUUUUUAAGAAUUUCAAAAAAAAAUUAUUAAAAACAAUUUCGAAUAAAUAAUUUCAAUUUAUUUUUUAUUUUUAAAAAAUUUCAAUUUAUUUCCAACAAGUGAUUUGAUUUAAUUUUAUUUAUAUUCAAUUUUUAUUUUUAAGAAAAAUAAUUACACUUAUUUUAUCAAAUGAUUUUUUUAAAAAAAAGGAAAAUUCAAUUCCACAAUAAAAAUGAUUUUUACAUGCUUUUAUUAGAAAAAAAAAAAAGAAUUUUUACAACUUUAUUUUCAAAAAUAUUUUAAUUUAAUUUUAUUUACAAAGAAUUAAUUUCUUUACAAUAAAAUAUUUUCAAUCCAAUUUUAUCAAGAAAAUUAUUUUUACAACUUCAAUUUGCAAAAAAAACUUUCAUUUUAUUUUUAUUAAAAUAUUAUUCAAGACAUUUAUUUAUGAAAAUUAGUUUUAAUGUCAUUCUAAUUAAGGAAAGAUAACUUAUUUAAAUUUUUUGGAUAAUUUUAUUAAAAAAACCUUUUGGACAAUUUCAUUUAAAAAUCAAUUUUUUUGAACAAUUUUAAUUAAACAAAAUAAAUUUUAGACAAUUAUUAAAAACAAUUUUUAAAAAUUUUAAUUAAAAACAAUUUUAGAAUUCCUUUAAAAACAUUUUUUGAAUUUUUUUAUUAAGCAAGCUUUCUUUUAUUUAAAAGAAUCAUUUUAGAACUAUUAUUUUAUUAAAAAAUAUUUAUUAAAUGGUUCCUCUUAUUUAAACAAAAAUUUUGGGUUUGAAUCAAUACAAAUAAAAUCAGAUAAAAGUGAAAAUAAAAUGUAUAUCCAACAAGCCUACAACUCUUUUUUCUUCAUGAAAUUCAACCUUUCAUGUGUCGCGAAUCCAUACUUAGACAGAAUACCAAUGCAAGUAGUGGAAUGGGCCAUGAAAAACGAAAAUUAGUCCAAAAGUAAGUAUUUGAAAAUAUGCAAAAUCCAAAAUAAAUAUUCAAACCCAAAUUCUAUAAGCCCAAUAGGAAAAUUCAAAUUGGUCCAAUGAAUUUCACCAAUGAAAAUAAAUCAAAUUAACAAGUAUAACCCAACAAAAAUAUCUCAUUUGUUAUAAGCAUUAGUUCAAAAUUUUCAAAUUAAUAACCAAAAUCUAAUAUCCAUCAACAAGCCACAAAUCAAAAUAAUCUCAAUUAAGCCUAAGCCCAAUUUAAUACGCAAACUCAAAUUCAUAACCAAAAUCAAACCCAAUUUAAUAUACAUACCUAAAUAAUAUCUAAAAUAUAUCACAAUAUUAUCUCAUACCCGAAUUAAAUAAUUCAUGAGCAAAACCUAUAUCAAAUGUCAAUCAAUCCAAUAAAUUUUACCAAUAAUAAAAUAGCUUAAAUUUCAUAUUAAUUAAUAAACUCAGAACAUGAUAAAUCAAAAUAAAUUGAAUCAAACAUAAAUUCAAUAUCUUAUAAUUCAAGCCUAAUUGAAUAUUCAAAUCCAAAAUCCAAUAAUCACCAAAUCCAAAUACAACAUAAACUAACAAACCCGAAUUUAUAUGAAUACAAAUCAAAAUAUAAGGUCCAAAAUGAUCCAGAUUAUCUAAGCUUACAAAUAAUGUCUAAAUGCACACAUGAAAAUAAUAAAAAUUAGCCCAAACCAAUAAUCUCAAUAAUCAAGAACAAAUUAUUGUAGUGAUUAAACAGAAAUAAUAAAAAUAUAAGGAUAUAAACUUACCCAUGAAGAACCCAUUAUAGUAAUUAAACAUAAAUAACAAAAAUAAAAGAAAAUAAAUUUGCCCAAAUUUGAAGUAUGUUGUUGAAGGGUUGAUAUAGGCUAAUGAAAAUAAAAAUAAAAAUAAAAUGAAAGAAGAUAGAGAGGGAAAGAAAGAGAAAAUGGUGAGAUGAAAGACAGGUGGAAAGGGAGAACGAAAGAGGAAAGGGGGUCGCCGGCCGGCAGCAGAUCACCGAUGGAGACGGACCAACUGUGUUGUCGAUAGUGAGGGUUGAGUGAGUGUGGUGAGGGAAAAAUGAAGAAGAAAAAUGAAGAGAAGAAAAAAAAAAAAAGAAGAAAGGUGGGGCAUGUUCUCUGGAAGUGGGCCAAGAGGGGAGAAAAAGCGGGGAAAAAAAGGGAAAAAAAGAAGAUGAAAGAAAAUGAAAGAAAAGAGAGGAAAAUGGAAAUGGAAGAGAUGAGAGCGGGGGAUAUGGGGUCUCUGACGUGGGAAUGGGCAGGAGAGAGAGAGUUGAGGGAGUGGGUGGAGUAGGUGAGAGAAAAAGAAAGAAAAGAAAAUAAAAGAGGGAGGGAAGGAAGGAAAUGAGAAAAAAAGAAGAAGUAAAAUAAAAUUAGACAAAAUAAUAAAAAAUAAAAAAAUAAAAAUUAACAUUUAAAAUAUAUAAAUAGGUUAAAAAAAAUAAAACUAAGAUUUAAAAAAUAUAAAUGGACCAAAAAAUUUAAAUUUCGAUUUAAAAGGUAUAUAUGGAUAAAAAAAAAAUUCAAAUGUAAUCCAUUUGAAAUAUAAUAAUAAAAUUAAACAUAAAAUUAAUGUAAAAAAAAAAAUAGAACAAAUUUUAAGAUUACAAAAAGUAUAGGGCAUGGUACAAAUUUAUUUUUAUUAUUUAAAUAAAAAAAGAUUAUCUAAAAACAUUACUUUAUUUUUUAAAAUAAGAAAUAAUUUUUAAGAAUUUAUUCUUGAAAUGAGGAGAGUGUUUAGAAUAUUUUUUUCACUUACUUUCUAAAAAAAUAUUAUAAAAAUUAAAUUAAUAAAUAUGCAGAAUAAUUAAAAGUAAAAUGUUAUAUACAAAAGUUAUUUUAAAAAAUAUAUUAACAAAAAUCAAUUUUCUAAACGGACUUCUUCUAUUAAAAAAAUAUUAAAAAUGGUUUGAAGCAUAUAUUCAAAAGUCAUCUUUUGAGAGUAGAUUUCAAAAAUAUUUCCAAAUAGAUUUUAACAUAUCAUUUCAAAGUGAUUCUAAUUAAAAUAUUUUGAUUUAUACUUUUUUAUUCAAAAUAUUUUGAUCAACUUUUAAAUAUAAAACCAAUUCAAAAAUAUCCUCAACACAUUAUUUAAUCAUAAAAAUUCUCAUAAAUUUUUUAUUCUUCAAAUACUUUCCAACAAAUAGUCAAAGUCACAUGCAAACUCUUCCAACAAAUUUCAAAUGCAAGCCACAUACAUAUGCAACACUCCUUAACAUGAUUCGUAAGAAUAAUUUCUCAAUGACACAAAUUUCAAUUUCUACUAAAUAUCUAUAUCAAAAUAAAUAGAAAAAAAAAUUCAAGAUAUCCAAAGAUGAUCACACCUAUUUCAGUUAAUUGUUCUUCCAUUCAAUUUAUAUCCACAAGUAAUAAAUGAAAACUAAAACUGGAAAUAAAUCAAAGAAUAUAAUAAGAAUAAAUAAAUAAAUAAUGAUAUCAGAAUUUACAUAAAAAACUUUCAAAAAGAUUAAAAAAACACGGACUUACCAUCAAUAAAAAAUUCCACUAUAAAAAAUAAAUAAUGUGUACAACGAUUUACCUAACUCAAAUCUUUUAAUCUUUCAUAGACUUAACCAACACUUUCUCACUUCAAUAGCAUAUCCUCAUCUUUCAUAAUAUACUUGGCCUUUUCGUUAUACUUGAUCUUAACCUCUUCUUAAAGCUUGUUUAAGAAGAAAAAUAGGUUUUUACCCAAACCCAAAUAGAUCAAAAAUUGAGAGAAUGAAUGAAUAAAUAGAUUAACCUUUUUUUUUUCUCAAGAAAAUUUAUUGAAAGCGACUUUAAAAUCAAUAAGAAAAUGAGAUUUUCUUGACCACCAAACACUGUAAAUUUGGUAAGAAAAAAAAAGUACAAGGGCAAAAUAACUAUAUAUAUAUUUUAUUUUGUUAGAAAAAAAAUUUGAUAUAAAAAGUAGUUUUAGUGCUACAAAUAUAUCUCUAUAUAUAUAUAUAUACUCUUAAUUGAUAUCUUCUUCAAAAUGGUCCCCAUACUGUGUUCUAGCCACGACAGAUAAUACGAUUGAGAUUAACGAGACGGCGCUUAGAUAAUUCUUGUGUACGUGGAAUGAAUGGAUGGGAAUUCUUGAAUACUUAAAUACUUGACUAGUUCAAUGUUCACAUUUAUCCAUCCAGAAACAGUGGGCUUCAAGGUGCUUUCCUUAGCCCAUUGGGCCCUGCCAUCUACCCUGUGCAGCCCCGUUAGCUGACUUGCUUGCGUCUAUGGAAUGAAGUCAAGCACGAGGGCACAAAGAUAUAUGACGCCAUUCUUUGGAAUUUAAUAAAAGCUGUUUCCCAUUUCUCCGCCGCCCCCACCCUAUAUAAACCCCUACCCAUUUACUCGUAAACCACCAUCACCACUACAAAGCCUGUCUUCCUCAAAAUGGGCCUUUUCAAAAGCCUCUCCAUUUCCUCCUUCCUUCUCGCCACCCUCUUCUUCACCUCCGCCCAUGCAGCCAUUUUUAAUAUCCAAAACCAUUGCUCCUACACAGUUUGGGCAGCAGCUGUGCCGGGUGGGGGUAGGCGCCUCGACCGGGGACAGUCCUGGAGCCUGACUGUGAACCCUGGCACAACUGGAGCCCGUAUUUGGGCCCGGACCGGCUGCAGCUUCGAUGGGGCUGGGCGUGGGAGGUGCCAGACCGGGGACUGCGGUGGCGUCCUCCAAUGCACAGCCUAUGGUGCACCCCCCAACACCUUGGCUGAAUUCGCACUUAACCAGUUCAACAACCUGGACUUCUUUGAUAUAUCCUUGGUCGAUGGGUUUAAUGUGCCUAUGGCCUUUAACCCUACCUCCAAUGGGUGCACCCGUGGGAUACGGUGCACGGCCGACAUCGUGGGACAGUGCCCCAGUCAGCUCCGAACUCAGGGUGGCUGCAAUAACCCAUGCACCGUUUUCAAGACCAAUGAGUACUGUUGCAAUUCCGGGAGCUGUGGCCCGACAGAUUACUCAAGGUAUUUCAAGACUAGGUGCCCUGAUGCUUACAGCUACCCUAAGGAUGAUCAAACCAGCACCUUUACAUGCCCUGGUGGUACCAACUAUGAUGUUAUCUUCUGCCCAUAAAGCCUCUAUUAACUAUAGUAUGCAUGUACUCGCCAGUCUAAACUACUAGGGUGCUUUUGAGUCCAUGUUGAGAUGCAAAAGUCUUUGUAAGGAAUAAAUUUGAGCACAUGUAUGUGUACUGAAUGUGCUCAUGCAACAACUUUUCUACGCUAGUAGAAUAAAUGGAUGUUUUUAUGAAUCUUCGGGACUUUACACAUAUUAUUAAAUCAUGUAGGACCUGGUAUAGAAGCACUUUGCGUGCAAAUAUAAGAAUUUUUAAAAAAUAAAAAAUAAAAACCAUUCUAUCAAAAUAAUUCUAAACUUUUUUUGUCUGGUGGGAUUGCACAUGAAACAUCACUUUGAAAAAGAUGGAAAAUAUUUAUAAAAAAAAACUAACUCAUUUUUCCAACGGUUGAAUUCAAUUUAAAUAACAAAUCCAUCAUUAUAAAGUAAAAAAUAAAAUUGUUUUUUCAAAAAUCAAGUUUAAUAUUAAAACAAAACAGAUAAGAGAUUAAAAACAAAAGUUAUAAAACCGACAAGAGAGAAGAAUGGAAUGUGGUAAAAAAAAAACAUAUUUUGUAUUUAUUUUUAAAUAACAGUUUUUAAUGUUUUAGUAAUGGUUUUAAGAUGCGUUUUUAAUAUUUUUUAAAAAAUUUAAAUAUAAAAUAAUUAAAAAUACUUUUUAAAAUCGAUGUGAAACGCGUUAUUAGACUUUUUAGACCAUACAGGUUUUAGGGAAAAAAACAAAAUAAAGAAGAUUUGAUUGUGAGCAAAGCUUUCAAUUUUCCAUGUAGUGGAAGAAGCCUUCUAUAUGGGUAUUUUAUUUUGUCCUCAUAACAUGAUAUUUAUCAUAUUUGGUAUCUGCAUAGUAUAUAUACAAAAUUCUUUUUGAUUUUUCUACUCUUUGCACUUCUUAGUGGUCUGUCUAUUACUUUUAUAUAUAAUAAAAGUCAAUAACUAAAUGUAGAGAAUUUUUUGCGGGUCCAAACAUCACAUGGUUAGUUCAUGGAGUUGCUUUCGGAGAGGCCUGAACCACCCACCAGAGUUGAGCUUAUCUCUUCGCUUUUACAUCUUAAAUGACACUAGAAAAAGGUAUAUGGCAUAGUAGAAAACUAUUUUUAAAAAUAUUUUUUAUUAUUUAAAUAAAUAAAAAUUUACCUGAAAAUUUUUAUUAUUAUUUUAAAUAAGAAAGUGUUUAGAAUAUUUUUUCACUUAUUUUCUAAGAAUCAUUUAAAAAAUUUAAUUAUAUAAAUAUUGAGAAGAGUUGAAAAUAAAACAUUACAUAUAAUUUUUAAAAAUAUAAAAAUUUAUUAAAAAUAUUUCAAGUUUCUAAACAUGCUUCUAGUAAAAAAAAAAAUUAAAAAUUGUUUGAAACAUAUUUUCAAAAAUUAAUUUUGGACAACAGUUUUAAAAAAUAUUUCCAAAUAGACCAUGAAAUAUCAUUUCAAAAUGAUUUUAAUUAAAGUUGUGCAGAGUAUUUUAACAAUGAUAUGGACCUUAUCUGGAAAAUAUUUUAAAUAAAAAAUAUAUUUUUAUUUAAAUUUGUGCCAGUGUAUUUGCUUACAAGUUUAUUUAUUAUCACGUUUCAGAAAAAACAUCAGCUUCAGUUGAUAAGUUUUGAAAGAUACUUCGUAGUGGACCCACAUGGAUCACGAAUCCAUCUAAAACCCAACAUUUAUGGGCUUUCCAUGACAUUGGGCCCAGUCACGUCACGUGUCUUUUAAGUGGAAAAUAAACUUUGAAGCGGUUGCUUCUCAGUAUUUUAAAUGAUAAAUGAUGAUAUUAUCGAAAAUAGUCCCAGUCUCAGAAUAAUUGAAGCGGCCAAUCAUAUUGGAAUAAUUCAACAGGCUGUCUCAUUGAAUUUUGAAAUAAAUUUUUCCAACGUCAUCCACCGACGUUUUUCUCAUUCAGCAUUCGGUAUUUAUGAAUUUACAUAAAAGUUAAGGCAAAUUUCUGAAAUUAUAAAAAAUAAAAAUAAAAAUGAUAAUGACGUGGGGCCUCGUCUCUGCAAAAUAUUUUAAAUAAAAUUAUUUAUUUUCUAAAAACAAACCUUUUUCAUUUAAAAAAAAAAAAUUAUUGGCUUUUGAUGAUAAGGUUUGAGGAAAAAAAAGGCCACCCCGCAUUGACUCUUUCUUUCAUGCCUACGAGCCACAACGAAGUGGACCACAAAGAUGAUGCCAUCAUUUGGAAUUUUUACAAGCACGCGGUUUUUCCACAUUCACACCAACCCAAGCCCUCCUUCACACUAUACAAACCCCUACCCUUUUCCUGGAUAGACCACCCUACUCCAACCAUCAAGCCUAUCUUCCUCAACAAUGGGCCUCUGCAAAAUCCUCUCCAUUUCCUCAUUCCUUCUCACCACCCUAUUCUUCACCUCCAGCUAUGCAGCAACCUUCAACAUCCAAAACCGUUGCUCCUACACAGUUUGGGCGGCGGCAAUCCCAGGCGGGGGCAUGCGGCUUGGCUCAGGCCAAUCCUGGAGCCUCGAUGUGAAGGCCGCCACCACCGGAAGCCGUGUUUGGGGCCGUACCGACUGCAGCUUCGAUGCGUCAGGGAAUGGGAAGUGUGAGACCGGGGACUGUGGUGGCCGCCUCCAAUGCAAGGCCUAUGGUACACCCCCUAACACCUUAGCCGAAUUCGCACUUAACCAAUACAGCAACUUGGACUUCUUUGAUAUAUCUUUGGUUGAUGGAUUUAAUGUGCCUAUAGCCUUUAAUCCUACUUCCAAUGGGUGCACCCGUGGCAUCAGUUGCACCGCCGACAUCGUGGGAGAGUGCCCCGCUGCGCUAAAGACUACCGGUGGUUGCAACAACCCAUGCACCGUUUUCAAGACCGAUGAAUAUUGUUGCAAUUCUGGGAGCUGUAAUGCUACAGAUUUCUCAAGGUUUUUCAAGACUAGGUGCCCUGAUGCUUAUAGCUACCCUAAGGACGAUCAGACAAGCACCUUCACAUGCCCUGGCGGUACCAAUUAUGAAGUUAUCUUCUGCCCAUCAGCAGUGCCACAAACAUGUGUUUUUAUUAUAAAUUAAUUUGUGGUAAAAAAAACAUUUUGUGUUACAAGAUUUUUUUUCCACAAAAAAAUAUUUCCGACCAGUUUGUUGCUACAAAUUCGUAAACAAUUAUUUUUAAUCACAAAAUUUAAUUUUAUAAUAAAAUAAAUAAUUUUUUCAUAAAAUAAAUUUUAUAACAAAAUAUCAAUAUUCACCAUUAAAUAAAAUUUAUGAUAAAAUGUCAUUUUUCACCGUAAAAUAAAAUUUGUGACAACACAUCGUUUUUCAUGAAAAUAAUUACGAUAAUAUGCGACUUUUUUGUUAUAAAAAAAUUCAUGAUAAAAAAUUACCCUUCUACCAAAAAACAUUAAUUGUAACGGUCCAAACCACUGGUCUUGACAAGGAAAUAUGACAUACAGUCAAGGAGGGUUUGCUUAAAAGUCAUUAUCCUACUUGGAAACUACCUCCCUUAUUGGGGUACAUGGCAUUUUUUUAAUAAUAUUUGACUCACUUUUCCGGGAAACCUAGUUGUAGAAGUCCAAACAGGUUGCUUUUCAGGGGAAUUCACGGCAUAAAUAGAAAAGAAAGUUGCCAGAAAUGCCCUAACUGAUUAAAAUCAUUACCUUUAAUUGCAGAGAAUUAUGUCUAUCAAUUAAAUAAAUUAUAAAUAUAUGUUUGAAUUGAUUUUUAAGAAAUUGAAUGGUUUUUUAAGUUCAAUAAGAAUUUUAAUAUUGAUUUAACUAAUUUUAUUUAAAAAGCUUAUGAUUUAAAAAAUAGUUUUAUAUGAUUUAGAUAAGAAAUUAUUUAAUAUUUAAUAUAAGUUUUAUAAUACUAAUAUUAUGUAUUAAAAAUUAUGAUUUUGGUUGGACUCUCAACAUUUAGUUAAAUCUAAAAGUAGAAAACUAUUUCAAACAAAGUCAUGUUUUCUAUUUCAUUAUUAAUUAAUAUAUAUUUUUUUUAAUUCGGAUGUGAAAAGGUGUUUCAAAGUUUAAGAUUGUCUAAUAUUUUAAAUCAAAAUCUCAAUACUUAAAUUAAAGAAAAAUUUAGAUCGUAUUUAUUUGUUUAAUUGAAUAGAAAAAAUUAAAAUAUUUAAUUUUUUUAAUUUUAAUUAAAAGUAAUCUAUUUAUAUUAAUCAAUAUAACGAAAUCGAAUAUAUUGAUAAUAAAUUUACUUUAAAUAUCUUAAUUGAUAUUAAUAUAUUACUUGAACUGAAAAAACUAAAAAGCAAAAAAUAAACUCCACACUUAAAAAGAUUCUGGGCCAUGGAUACAGAAGCCCAAAAGAUUUAUUGAUGGGGGCAGUGGGCCUGGCCUGCCGUGUGCAGCUGCAUUUGUUUGACUUGUCCUCAAGCCUAGUCAACGUCUCCGUUCAAUGAAGCUGAUGUAUCGAAAAAUCCCAAAAAGCCUCAUUUUUCCCGCCAAACGCGUAAACCCCAAAAUGAGUUUCUUCUGCAACUGCAGCAAUCUCUCUACUUCCUUCUUCCUCCUCAUCUUCAUCAAUGCAACCAUUUUCGAAAUCCGAAACAGCUGCCCCUAUACCGUCUGGGCAGCCGCCUUACCCGGCGGCGGAAGGUAACUCGACCAAGGCCAGACCCGGAACCUUUCAGUGAGCUCCAACACAACCCAAGGCCACAUCUGGGGCAGAACCAAGUGCAGUUUCGAUGAAGCCGGAAGGGGGAACUGCGAGUCCGGUGGAUGUGGAGGCCUCCUUGAAUGCCAAGAAUAUGGUUCACCGCCCAACACCAUUGCCGAGUACGCCAUAAACCAAUUCAACAAAACUGAUUUCUUCGAUAUUUCUCUGGUGGUUGGAUUCAACCUUCCAAUGGAGUUUAGCCCAACUUCUGAUGGGUGCAAACGUGGGGUCAAGCGUACGUGCGACAUUAACGGGCCGUGCCCAAACGAGUUGAGGGACCCGGGUGGGUGUAACAACCCAUGUACCGUUUUCAACAAUACUCAGUACUGUUGCAAUACCGGGAGCUGUUAGCCUACACCUUCAUGUUUUUCAAGGCUAGCUGCCCAGAUGUAUACAGUUACCCUUUGGGAGAUGAUUCAAUCGGUACGUUUACCUGCGCCGCAUGCACUAACUAUCGUAUAGUCUUCUCCGAGUUUUGGGGUAGCCCAAAGUUUAAACCUUUUUGCAAAACUUACAAUCAAACUCGUCCUUUUUAUUAUCACCUAGAGUCAUAUUAUGUUUUUUUUUUCAAAAUUUAAGUUGAAAAUUUUAUUUUUGAAUUGAAGCCAUAAUUAAUAACCAAGACUUCAUUUUGAACGGAAACCUCAUUUGAUAAGUGAGACUUAGUUUUUUAAUUAAAACCUCAUUUUGACAAUUAAAACUUCAUUUAUUAAACUAAAACCUUAAUUGUGACUUUAGUUAUUUUUUUUACUUUAAAAUUUAAUUAAAAAUAUUAAAUUUCAAAUUAUUAUUGAAAUUAAAAAUAUUUACUUUAAUAAUAAAAAAUUAUAUAUUUAAGUUUAAGGAUUCAACAUUAUUCUAAUAAAGAUAAAUUGAUAAAUAAAAUAAAUAAAUGAAUAAUUUUAUUUAUCAAUAAAUUAAUAAUUUUAAAAUAAUAAAGUUAUAUAAUAUAUAAAUAAAAUAUAAAAUUAUAUAAUUUAUUAAUUUAAGUUAUAUUACAAAUACUAUAUGUUACCGGGCAACUAAAAAGGAAGAAAGUUAUGUAUAGGUUCUCUCUUUGUAAAGACACGUAAGAUUAUAUAAUUUUCUUUUUUACUAUAUGAAUAUUUAGUAAACAAUUUUUGUGACAUAGAUGAAACUACUAAAACUUAUAUUUUGUAGUAAACAUUUUUUAAUUAAUUUUAUUAGCUAAUUUUAAAAUGUAUCUUCAAGGCAUAUAUGUUGUGGGUAUAAAUAAUAAUUUUUUUUUAAUGAAAAAUUAUAAACAUAUACUUUAAAAUAAUAAUAAAAUCUAUAUAUAAAAGCUUAAGAAUAUACUAUUAUUUUAAUAAAGAUAAAUUUGUGAAAAUACAAAUAAAUUAAUAUCUUAAAAAUAAAACAAAUUAAAUAUCUUAAAUUAAUAAAUUAUAUAAUUUUAUAUCUUAUUAUAUUUAUCAAUUUAUCUUUAAACCUAAGUCCUAAGUCCAAGGUUUAAAUAUUUUAUUAUAUUUAUUAAUUUAUCUUUAUUGAAGUAAUACUAGAUUUUUAAGUUUAAACAUAUAAUUAAUUUAUUAUUAAAGUAUAUAUUUUUAAUUUCAACAAUAAUUUAUAAUUUAAUAUUUUAAUUAAAUUUUAAAGUAAAAAAAUAAUUAAUUGAAGCUUCAAUUGAAAAUUAAGACUUUAAUAAAAAAAUGAAGUCUCAAUUAUCAAUUGUGAAUUCAAUUUAAAAAUGAGGUAUGAUUUGACAAUUAAGGUUUCAGUUUAUAAAUGAAACCUUAAUUGUCAAUUGUGGUUUUAGUUCAAAAAUAAACCCUCAAUUGAUAAUUGAGGUUUUACUUAAAUUUUAAAAUAUAUAUAUAUUAUGAUACGACUCUUAUGUGACAAUAAAGGACUAGUUUGAACAUAAAUUUUAUAAAAAUGUUAAAUCUUACAUUUCUUUUUAUACAAGCUUAUUUAUUUUUGUUUCUUAAAAAAAAAAAAAUUAUCAGCUUCCCUUGAUAAGAUUUGAGGAAAAACAAAGAUGAGGUAGGAUUGGCUCUUCCAUGCCUCUAAGUCGAGCACCAUCUUUUAGAUUUUAACAAAGCUUAUUGCUAAAAUAUUUUCAUUUAGGGUCAUUAACUUUAACUUAGGGUUCAUCGAGGAACUUUUUCAGAAAUAAUUCUUAAAAAGUAAUUCUCAAGAAUAACUUUUAAAAAUAAUAUUUUAAUAUUUUUAAAAUAAAAAGUUUUGAAGAGCUUAGAAUAUUGUCAAUUUUUUUUUAUAUUUUUAAAUAUUUCUUAAAAAUAAUUCCUAUUUAUAAUACCUUAUUUUAAGACAUUCUUCGUGUUUAUUCAAUAAUUCCUAAAAAGUAAUUAAAAUAUAAUAUAUGUAAAAAAAAUCACUUUUCAUAGUUUUAGUUUUAAAUUUAUAAUUAACAAUCGAAUGUGUUUUUAUACUUUUUUUAUUCUAAAAACCAAAAAGAUAAAUCCUUAAUAGAAAUUUUCAAACAUUGUUUUAGUGUCCCACCCCAAGUCCACCUUCGCUCUAUAUAAACUCCUAGCCAUUUCCUCACGGACCACCCCAAACCAUAAAGCCCAUCUUCCUGAAAAAAUGGGCCUCUUCAAAACCCCUUUAAUUUCCUCAUUCCUUCUCACCACCCUAUUCUUCGCCUCCUGCCACGCAGCCACGCUGAUCAACAUCCAAAACCAUUGCUCCUACACAGUUUGGGCGGCGGCGGUACCAGGUGGGGGCAGGCAGCUUGGUCCGGGCCAAUCCUGGAGCCUCGAUGCGAACCCUGGCACAGCCCGUGUGUGGGCACGUACCAACUGCACCUUUGAUGGGUCAGGGAACGGGACGUGUGAGACCCGAGAUUGUGGUGGCCGCCUCCAAUGCCAAGCCUAUGGUACACCCCCUAACACCUUGGCCGAAUUCGCACUUAACCAAUUCAACAACAUGGACUUCUUCGAUAUAUCUUUGGUUGAUGGAUUUAAUGUGCCCAUGGCUCUUAAUUCUACUUCCAAUGGGUGCACCCGUGGCAUCCAAUGCAGCGCCGACAUAGUCGGACAGUGCCCUGAUGAGCUCCGAGCUCCCGGUGGUUGCAACAAUCCAUGCACUGUUUUCAGGACCGAUGAAUAUUGUUGUUAUUCUGGGAACUGUGGCCCUACAACUUACUCCAAGUUUUUCAAGGAUAGGUGUCCGGUGGCUUAUAGCAACCCUAAUGAUGAUCAAACAAGCACCUUUACAUGCCCUGGUGGUACUAACUAUGAUGUUAUCUUCUGCCCAUGAUGCCUCUACUAGUCCUGUUAGACGAUUUGGUACCAUCUUGGGAUCCAAAUGUCUAGAAGAAUAAAUUUGAGCACAUGUCCAUGUCCAUAGUCAUGUAAUAAGAUUUCUACCAUCAUAGAAAUCGAAUGAUUUUCAGAGGGGUUAGAAGCUUUGAAUAAUGUUUAAAUGUGCUUUACUUAUAAAAGUUUAGAACUAAUUCUUCAUAAAAAUAAUUUUGUCCAAGUGUUAUUGUUUAAGAGUUUAUUUGAUAUUGAAUUAUGAAAGUAUUUUGAAUUAUUUUAACAUUUAAAAAAUAAUUUUUCUUUAAAUAUUAAAAAAUUUAAAAAUGCUUCUUAUAAUUAUUAUCAAAUAAACUCUAAAUACUAUAUAUUAAAAACAUAAUUACUAGAAUGACCUCUAAAUGAAUUCAUAUUUUAAGUACACCGAGAAUGAUAGAAUUCAGUAAUGGUGUUUUAAAUUAAAUUGGUAAAUAUUUUGGGAUUUUCCAUUUGAAUAAUUUUUAGAAGUGAAUAAAUUAUUUUUCAGCUCUAACAUAAACAAAUCCUGUUAUUGUGGUGUGGAAAAACCUUUGCUCAAGAGUCAAGAGCGGUGGUGGAGGCUUGAGUUACGUACCCAAGUUGAAUUUUUGUAAAAGGAUGUGGAGGAGUAGAGUACAAGGAAAAUUGAUUUGCGGACAAGACCAGUUAGUUAGUGAAGCUUGAUUAAAGUCGAAGUUUUGGUGUUUUCUCCCAAGACUUCCUUUGUAGUGGUCCAAAAAAUUGGUAAGGAAAUAUGACAGACAUCGAAAGAGGAUUUGGCUAAAAGUCAAUAACUAUUUGGAGCUAUGUUCCCUUCUCGGGGCGAUGGCGUUUGCUAGUAAUCUUUGACUCGCUCUUCCCCGUAGCUUCCAUAGCAGUCCAAACCGGUUGCUUGUUCAAGGAAAACACCGUAUAAAUAAGAGGGAAGUGGCUAAAAGUCUAACUAAUUAAAAUCGUAGUCAUUUAUUGUGUGGAAUAGCGGGACACAUACGUAUUGAAGUUGAACUUGUCCAUCAAUUAAAUCUAAUACAAUUUUCUUUUUCAAUCCAACUAUUACGUAAUAAAUUUUAAAUUUCAAAUAUAUUUGCUUUUAAAAUUUACUCAAACCAAUUUAAUAACUUACAAAUAACUAAUUCAAUAACUUGGACUUCUUUAAUAUAGUAUUGUCCAAGCAUAUAUUUGAUAUGUCUUUAAUUUAUUUUUAAUUGUGCUUCUAAGCUACGUUUGGUUCUCGAAAAAUUUGAGAGAAAAUUUAAAAGAAAAAAAUUACAGAUGAAAAAAAAUAAAAAAUAGUUUAAAUAUAAUAAAUUAUAUUUGAUUUGAUUUUCUAUUUUUUUUUAUAGUGAAACAAAAUAUGAGAAAACCAUUUUUAUUAAUAUUUUUUUUCUUUAGAACACUUUCCAACAUAACUUACCAUUUAUUUUUUUGGUCAUGCAAAAGUUGAUGUAAAAAAUAUAGUUAGUCUCUCUUAUAUCAUUCAUUUGAAAUUGAGUAGAUUAAUGGUGUUUGUUUUUUUGGUUUUUUACUUAAAGCAAUUUAGUUUUAGAAUUUAGGUUGUUUGUUUUUCUACUUUUUCAUGACUUAUUAUAAACUUUUUACUAAAUAGAAAAAGUCAAAAUAUGUAGCUUUUUCUAAGUAGGAAAAAUAACAUAUUGAUUUUUUUUACUUUUUAAUACUUAAUAGAAAUAAAAUACUACAAAAACAAAUAACCUAAUAUUUAACACUAUUAAGCAUUAAGGUUCUAUUUAGAAUUAAGUAAAAAAACAAACAUCAUCUUCACACUAAGUAAUAACCCUAUAUUAGUCCUAAUAAGUAAUAAAAUUCCUCUACUAAUACAUGGUAUGGAUAAAAUAUUUACUAAAUUAACAACAUGAAUGUAAGUAAUUUAGAUAUUAGUAGGAUAUAUUUUUGUCUUAAUUAUUUAAAAAUAUAAACAUAUUUAUAUUAGGUUCUUGCUUUUUAUAAAUAUUAAUUCAACAUUUUUAGUAAUUUUUUUUUUAAAUUUAAUAAUUACAUAACCAAAAGUAAAAAAAAAAAAAAAUCAUUUUAUGAUGAUUUUUUGUCAAUUUUCAAUGAUUUCUUUCUAGUUCUUUGUUUUCAGUAGGUUAUUGAGUUAAUAAAGAAAUAAUGAAAUAUAAUGUGAUUGGGUUUUGGGUAUUUUUUUUUUUUAUAAUUUGUUUAAAAAAAAUUAGAUAAUAAAAAUAUCAUAUAUAUAUAUUUUGUUAUAAAAUUUUUAAAAGGAAAAAAAUUGUUGCUAAAUAUGAUUUUCAAAAACAUUUAUCACAAUUUUAAUUCAAAAAAUUGAAAAAUAAAAGUGUAAUGGAAGAUACUACUAAUGUAGUACAAGCAAUAAAUAUUUUUACCCUUAGUUGUGAAAAAUAUAGAGGAAAGAAAUUUUAUGAUGUCUGUUUCUAGAAGGUUGUAGGAAACCUGUUUGCCACGCCAGCCUAUUAAUAUUUUCUUCUUCGAAAAUUAAGAAAUUAUGGCAUUUUUUUAAAAAAAAAUUAUGCUUAAAAAUAGUUUUUUAUUUAGAAUAUAAAACUUAAAUUUAAAGAAAUUGAGAAUAUAUUCUAAAACUGAAUUAUCUUUUAGAAUAAAUUUAAGGGUUUUUUUUUAUUAUGUUCUAUUAAAUAAUAAUUAUUAAAAAUAUGAAAAUUAUUUUUUUUUAAAAAUAUAUUAUAUAUGUGUAUGUCAACUUUAAGAAAAAUAAAUAAAUAAAUAAAUAUAUAUAUAUAUAUAUAUAUAUAUAUUUUAUGUCUGAGAUUUUAAACAAAAUUUUAUUUAUAAAAAUAAUUAAAAAUUAUGUUUUGCCUAACAUGCCUAUGUUCUAGUCGUCUACGGAGUUGGUUCGGGAUGGCAGUGGAAAAUAUACUUUAGAUAUUUUCUCUUCUCUAUAGUCAGAUGCUUCUGCGUAUUUUAAAUGGUAAAGACCAAAACUCAAUUAUGAUAUUAUCGAAAAUAGACCCAGUCCAAAGUGGUCAUUCAUACUGGCAUAGUUCCAGGAAGGUGAUCAACAUCAGGGCUGUCUCAUUCAAGAAAGGAAAUUUGCACCCACGUUUUCUAGAUACAUUCCUACUGUUCUGAUGAUUCGGUAUGCACGAAUUUAUGCAAAGGUUAGGCAGAUUUCUGAAAAUAAUAAAAAUGGUAAUGAAGUGGACCCUUCUCUCUGUAAAAUAUUUUAAAUAAAAAAUACUUAUUUUUCUAAAAAUAAGUAUUUUCAAUAUGUAAUAUAUGUUUUAAAAAAAAAAAUUAAUUUACAAGCUUAUUUAUUUUUAUUUCUUAAAAAUAUUAUCGGCUUUUGUUGAUAAGAUUUGAGGAAAGAAAAAGGGCCACCUCACAUCGACUCUUCCAUGCCCGCAGGCCCCAACGAAGUCGACCACAAAGAUGACGCUAUCUUUUGGAAUUUUUACAGGGAGGUUUUUUCACAUACACACCAACCCAAGCCCACCUUCACCCUAUAAAAACCCCCACCCGGUUCCUCACAGAUCACCCCACUCCAACCAUCAAGCCUAUAUAUCUUCCGAAACUCAACAAUGGGCCUCUGCAAAAUCCUCUCCAUUUCCUCAUUCCUUCUCACCACCCUAUUCUUCACCUCCAGCUAUGCAGCUACGUUCAACAUCCAAAACCAUUGCUCCUACACGGUUUGGGCUGCGGCAGUCCCAGGCGGGGGCAUGCAGCUUGGCUCAGGCCAAUCCUGGAGCCUCAAUGUGAAUGCCGGCACCACUGGAGGCCGUGUUUGGGCCCGUACCAACUGCAACUUCGAUGCGUCAGGGAAUGGGAAGUGUGAGACCGGGGACUGUGGUGGCCUCCUCCAAUGCACGGCCUAUGGUACACCCCCUAACACCUUAGCCGAAUUCGCACUUAACCAAUACAGCAACUUGGACUUCUUUGAUAUAUCUUUGGUUGAUGGAUUUAAUGUUGCUAUGGCCUUUAAUCCUACUUCCAAUGGGUGCACCCGUGGCAUCAGUUGCACCGCCGACAUCGUGGGAGAGUGCCCCGCUGCGCUAAAGACUACCGGUGGUUGCAACAACCCAUGCACCGUUUUCAAGACCGAUGAAUAUUGUUGCAAUUCUGGGAGCUGUAAUGCUACAACUUACUCCGAGUUUUUCAAGACUAGGUGCCCUGAUGCUUAUAGCUACCCUAAGGACGAUCAGACAAGCACCUUCACAUGCCCUUCCGGGACCAAUUAUGAAGUUAUCUUCUGCCCAUAAAUCUAUUAUUUAAAUCAUAUGCUAGUAUGCCUCUACUGGUCUCAACUAUUAGGAGGCAAUGGUAUCCACCUUGGGUUCCAAAAGCCUAGAGGAAUAAAGUUGAGCCCAUAUUCGUGGUCAUGUAUUAAGAUUUCUACACUAGUCGAAGCAAUGGAUGCCUUUUUUUAUAUAGAUAUAUGCUAUCUUCUUCUUCUAAUCUCUGUGGUCCCUUCCAAGUAACAUUUCAUAUAGAUAUAUGAAUUUUAAUGAUUAUUCUUCUUCAGAAUUCUUUUUUUUUUUUUUUUUGAAAAUGAAAUUAAGCUUAACAUGAACAAAAUUCUGCUAUCAUGGUACGGAGAAAUCUUUGCUUGAGAGCGGUGGUUGAGGAUUGAGUCACCUACCCAAGUCAAAUUUUUGUAACAAUUAGAUGUUCAUCUUUAGAGUACUACAAGGAAAAUUGAUGUGAGGAUAAAGACCAGUUAACGAAGCUUGACUGACGUCAAAAUUUUAUUUUAUUUCCUUUUCUCUAAUCCUACCUUGUAGCGGUCCAAAUUAAUUGUCUUGACAAGGAAAUAUAACACAUAGCCAAGGAGGAUUUGCCUAAAAGCCAUCAUCCUGUUUGAAAACUACCUCCCUUAUUGUGCACAUGACACUUUUUCUAAGGGGAAUAAUCCAACCAUACAUUGGACCAAUAAAAUAAGUAUUUUUGGGAUUUUAUUUUUACCUUCACAAAUUGAGUGCGUAAAGUGCGGGGGAAAAAAACUCAUUCAUGCAUUUCAAUAACACUUGUGAAUUUAUUCCAAAAUUACAUUCAAAGUACACCUAUCAUUUUUUUUUACAUCAACUCUCUCACACCUCCAUUUCACCCGCCAUGUUCAUACGGUUUUUUUAUCUCUCACCAACAUAUUCAUAGUCUCAUGUAUUUUCUUAUAAAACAUCUUUAAUUUCAAUUUUUUUUUCACUCUCUAAUCUCUCCAUAUUUAUUGAUUUUAAUCAUUUUUUAGACACAUUAAACUUAAAAUGAUAAUAUAUAAUAAAUAAUUAAUAAUAAAAAAUUAAAUAAAAACAUAAUAUUUAAUGAACAAAAAUUAAAAUAUUAUCUCACAAAUAAUAUACUUGAUAAUUUUAAAUAUUAAUUAUAAUAAUGUUUAAGAUUUAAAUUUAAAAAUUAUGUUUUUAUUAUUUAGAGGCUUAUGAUAUAAUUUUUUUUAUAUUAAUACUAAAUAAAAGAUUUAUUGAUUUUGUAAAUCUUAUCAUACGUAAAAGUAAAAAAUAUCUUUGUAAUAUUAUUUUAUUAUUUUUAUUUUGAUAUAAAAUUUUUCAUUUGUAAUAUUAUUUUAUUAUUUUUAUUUUGAUAUAAAAUUUUUCAUAUCAAAAUCACAAUAAGUGAUAGUAGUUUUUUUUUUGUUAUGGUUUUAAUUGUGGUUUUAACUUUUUACUUGGUUAAAUUUUUUAAUUUUUUAUCAAGAUAAAAUAUAAAAGAAAAUAUGUUUUUUCAUAAAAAAAAAAUACAUUGUUUUAGGGAAAUUGAGAUACUUAUCUCUUUUAUCAUGAUGCAUAUACUCCUUUUGGAAUUCUCGGGAAGUGUUUUUAAAUUCUCUCCCACCUCGAAAAAGACUUUGAAACUUCAAGUAAGAAAAAUAAAUACAUCCUUUAAGAAAAAUGGAUUUUCUUUGAAUUGGUUGCCUCACAAUAUUUUAAAUGAUAAAGACUAAAAUUCAAUUAUGAUAUUAUCGAAAAUAGUCCCAAUCUAACGACUAGUCAAGAUAUUUGAAGUGGCCAAUCGUAUUGGAAGAAUUCCAGGAAGGUGCUCAACAGGGUUGUCUCAUUCAAAUAAGGAAAUUUGAAAUAAAUUUUCUCAAUACCAUGCACCCACGUUUUCUAGAUACAUUCCUACUGUUCUCAGAAUUGAGUGCUCAUGAAUUUACAUAGAAGUUAGGCAGAUUUCUGGAAAUAAUAAAAAUGAUAAUCACGUAGAACCUUGUCUCUGUAAAUUAUUUUAAAUAAAAAAUACUUAUUUUUCUAAAAAUAAGUAUUUUCAAAAUGUAAUAUAUGUUUUUUUUUUUUUUAAAUAAUAAUAAUUUACAAGCUUUUUUAUUUUUAUUUCUUAAAAAAAUUAUGGGCUUUUGUUGAUAAGAUUUGAGGAAAAACAAAAAGGGCCACACUACAUUGACUCUUCCAUGCCUACAGGCCACAACGAAGUCGACCACAAAGAUGACGCCAUCUUUUGGAAUUUUUACAGGACGGUUUUUCCACAUACACACCAACCCAAGCCCACCUUCACCCUAUAUAAACCCCCACCCAUUUCCUCACAGAUCACCCCACUCCAACCAUCAAGCCUAUCUUCCGAUCCUCAACAAUGGGCCUCUGCAAAAUCCUCUCCAUUUCCUCAUUCCUUCUCACCGCCCUAUUCUUCACCCCCAGCUAUGCAGCCACCUUCAACAUCCAAAACCAUUGCUCCUACACGGUUUGGGCUGCGGCAGUCCCAGGCGGGGGCAUGCAGCUUGGCUCAGGCCAAUCCUGGAGCCUCAAUGUGAAUGCCGGCACCACUGGAGGCCGUGUUUGGGCCCGUACCAACUGCAACUUCGAUGCAUCAGGGAAUGGGAAGUGUGAGACCGGGGACUGUGGUGGCCUCCUCCAAUGCACGGCCUAUGGUACACCCCCUAACACCUUAGCCGAAUUCGCACUUAACCAAUUCAGCAACUUGGACUUCUUUGAUAUAUCUUUGGUUGAUGGAUUUAAUGUGCCUAUGGCCUUUAAUCCUACUUCCAAUGGGUGCACCCGUGGCAUCAGUUGCACCGCCGACAUCGUGGGAGAGUGCCCCGCUGCGCUAAAGACUACCGGUGGUUGCAACAACCCAUGCACCGUUUUCAAGACCGAUGAAUAUUGUUGCAAUUCUGGGAGCUGUAGUGCUACAGAUUACUCAAGGUUUUUCAAGACUAGGUGCCCUGAUGCUUAUAGCUACCCUAAGGACGAUCAGACAAGCACCUUCACAUGCACUGCCGGUACCAAUUAUGAAGUUGUCUUCUGCCCAUAAAUCUAUUAUUUAAAUCAUAUGCUAGUAUGCCUCUACUAGUCUCAACUAUUAGGAGGCAAUGGUUUCCACCUUGGGUUCCAAAAGCCUAGAGGAAUAAAGUUGGGCACAUUUUCGUGGUCAUGUAACAAGAUUUCUACACUAGUAGAAGUAAUGGAUGUUUUUUUUUUUUAUAUAUAUAUAUAUAUAUAUAGAUUUAUGCGAUCUUCUUUCUUUCUAACCUCUAUGGUCCCGUCCAAGUAAUAUUUCAUAUAUAUUUUAUUCUAUAUAAUAUCUGCGGAUAAGAUCGGUUAAUGAAGCUUGACUAAAGUCAAAAUUUUAUUUUAUUUCAUUAUCCUACUU